rnacentral:rRNA from 1 species
GACGAACGCUGGCGGCGUGCUUAACACAUGCAAGUCGAACGGAAAGGCCCUGCUUUUGUGGGGUGCUCGAGUGGCGAACGGGUGAGUAACACGUGAGUAACCUGCCCUUGACUUUGGGAUAACUUCAGGAAACUGGGGCUAAUACCGGAUAGGAGCUCCUGCUGCAUGGUGGGGGUUGGAAAGUUUCGGCGGUUGGGGAUGGACUCGCGGCUUAUCAGCUUGUUGGUGGGGUAGUGGCUUACCAAGGCUUUGACGGGUAGCCGGCCUGAGAGGGUGACCGGCCACAUUGGGACUGAGAUACGGCCCAGACUCCUACGGGAGGCAGCAGUGGGGAAUAUUGCACAAUGGGCGGAAGCCUGAUGCAGCAACGCCGCGUGGGGGAUGACGGCCUUCGGGUUGUAAACCGCUUUCGCCUGUGACGAAGCGUGAGUGACAGUAAUGGGUAAAGAAGCACCGGCUAACUACGUG